rnacentral:lncRNA from 1 species
AUCACCAAACUGUUUUGAAAGAUAAAAGUACUUCCUGAAUAUGUGGAUGGUGAGCCACGUGAAUGGAAGACAUGGAGAUAUGGACUGUUAACACCUUGUCAAACAUUUAUUGUCCCUUCCACCUCUAAACUUCUGUGAUAAUAGGUGAACAGGACCCACGUGGUGCAGAAUACUGCGAUACACACUGCGGAAUAAUUCAGUGCAGAACAACACGUGGAUUGCUCAGUACAACUUGUUCAUCACAUCCUCCUGUUCACUGAAGAAUUAUGGAAAUAUUCUCUGAGCUGCUUUCCUCCCUGCCCAACGAGUCAUCUCUGUGUGAAAGGCCAAGCUUAUAAAUCCUGAAGAAAGAGACAUUAUACAAAUGCAAGCUGUUGUCACAACAAUGAUAAGAAAUCAGGAGUCGAAAGAUGUGGAGUAAGGGGGAAUUUCAGAGAAACCACAAAACACAAAAUAGGAAACAGAGACAGGAGAAGAUUGCUAUGACAAAAUUGCAGAAGGUGAAAUCUUUGGCAGCCUCUUAUUUCUCUGGAGAAUAUGAUAUUGUCAGGCUGAGGUGGAAGAAUCACAUGGUCAUACUGUUGAAGAGGUCUUGAAACAUUGGGCUUUCCUCUACAAGCGGAAGGAUAGCACUGGCAGCCAUCCACUGGCCCAGCAAUAUCCUGGAUUGAGACGAUAUCAUUUGCAUUACUUGCUGAAUGAAACAUAGUGAAAAUGACUGCAGAUAACCUCAACUAAGUCCAAGAUAUCAUUUUCAAAUCUGGACCAGCCCUUGCCAUCUAGACUGAACAGAGAUUCCAGUUUCCAGGAGAGUAGAUGGAGUAAUGAUAAAAGCACCUCCCAAAACUUUUGCCUUGCUCCAUCAAAACUUAUAAAAUCUUGGGAAGAGGAACUGUGGCCCAUCACUGAUCAUUUCAUCUAUUAAGUGACCACUUAUUGUCUUAUAAUAGGAGAUGUUCUGGAAACAUGCAUUGAAUCGAAGUGGCUUUGAGGAAGCAUGAAGAGAAAACAGGAUGGCAUCCUUUUGGCACCAUUUCUUAUGCUAUAAUAAGGAUUCCUUCUGUUUACACAUAAAACAGAAGAGUUUAAUCACCCCAGCAAUCUUUAACUUGGUAAUGAAGGCCAUAAAUUAAAUUUUAAGCAAAGUUAAAGAAGAUGAGAUGAAAUAUAAAACAAAAACAUCAUCAGAAUCUGCCCAGGAACAAUAUUCUUGACACCAAACCAUGACAUUAUGGGGCUCAGUUGUUUGUUUCUAGGGCAGCCCCUUGUUUUAUGUGCCAAAUAGCAUUUCCCUAAAUAAAACUGCAUGGAACAAAA